UGCCAGCACAGCUGGAGCCCACAGCAAUCAGUGCUGGCAGCCAAUGGAAGAGAGGUGGAGGGGAAUAACACCCUUUCCUGGGGUUGAGGGUGCCAGCUCUCUGGAUUUCUACCUGAAGAGCGGUGUUGGCUGCCUCGGCUCACCUGGGCUGCAGACUGGGGAAGCUCCAGCUCCUUGUGAAUGUGGUUGCCUCAACCUCAGUUUCGGCCCUUCGGAAAAAAGGCUCAAUAAAUGCUGACUGAGGUUUGGAAUCAGAGUGGCAUUAGCCCAGAGAAAGAAGAACAGAUCACAUAAUCUCAACUGGCCAACAAAGAUAUUCACUGUCUCGUCCAGGGCAACAUCUAUGUUCAUUGUAAAGUACAAAAACUUCCAUGAUAGAAAGAAGGGAUGAUAAUCUCACAGUGAACUACAUCAGGUUUAAACCAAGGCUUCUGCCACGAGCACGGCAAGCUUCAAGCACCACAUUUUAACUACAAUUUGUAUUGCUUCAAGGUACUAGUAAUUAUAAAUCAGUAUUUUGGUUGCAUAUUGGAAUGCAAUGUUGCUGUGGAGACUGAGCCAAAUCUUGCCUUUAGAAUUAGAUGAAUAUGCAUAUGCAUGUAAGAGGAGGAAAUAUAGCUGAUUGGAUAUUCCUGGGUGUGAUAAAGCUAAAUAAACUUAUUUGUAUCUCUUCUUCUUGCCCGUUGCAAUGCAUUUCAAUAUUCCUCUGUCUUUUCAUGAUAAUAAAGUCACAGUAUCCUCAUUUAGGAUUUUUUUUCCUGACACCCUCCUGUCCAAAAUCUCAUGAAAUGGUAUGAUGUGUUCCUUAUGAGCCCAUGGCAAGACCAGAGCUUUUUAUAACCAUUUUGCAAGCACUUAAGUA